UACGUAAGCAACCGACUCUCCUUUGCAGUC
rnacentral:piRNA from 1 species